CGUAAGCCAGGUUGGUUUCUAUCUUUAAUAUAUUAUAAUAUUUUAGUACGAAAGGACCAAAUAUUAAGUAAAUAAUUAUUUUAAUUUUGAAUAAUAUUAACUAUUUUGGCAGAAAAGUGUAAUAAAUUUAGAAUUUAUGAAUGUAAUAAUUUACAAAUAGUAUUGUAUUUAUUUGAGAUUAUUUUAUUUAUUAUUAGAAGUAUACUAUUAAUUA
rnacentral:rRNA from 1 species